CUCUUUCUGGGCAUGUGGUAGUUACUUUCAUUCCCCGCCUUCCUUAAAGUUGUGGCUUACUUUGGCCAGUGGGAUGGGAAUGAAGGUGAUGUGUGUCUCUUUCAGAUGAAAGCAUUAGCCAGUGGAAGAUAGGAUCAAACGAACUUGCUUUAAACCAUACCCACGCAAUAGCCAUUGGGAAUGUGGAGCUAUGAGGACUAUUGACUGAAGAAUAAAUUCUCAUAAUCACAGCAAGAAGAAAAAUGGACAAUUACAAAUCAGUAUUUCUCUGGCUACAAUCCACAUGCUUUGUGGAAAAGCCAGCAACCCUCAAAUUCUUCCAAAGUAGUCCCAAAAGUUCCCAGGAAACUCUUGCUGUGCUCUGUAGCCAAAUCUUUUGGCUGCAUUAUACCAUCUGUGAUCUUCUCUGCUGCUCCAAAUCUCCAUGGCAAUGGCAAUGAACAAAGUAGCCACUCUUUCAACAAUGCACACCAGUGGUGUUCCUGCCACAAUACUGCAAUUACUGAGCCAAAAUGGCAGCACCAUUUGCCAAGGGCAAUGGCACCUAAACCAAAGCUUUGACUGUUGCAGGUAAGACAAACGCCCCCUCACAUUGUCAUGGAAGCUUCUAGCAUCAAUAUAGCAAUGCCAUGUAGUCUCAAAAAUCUUGUUUAUGUUAGUUUUUAUUCAUUUUUUCAUUCCAGGCCUCUUUGUCUCUGAGCUCAAAUAUGAGAUCAUCGCAGCUAGACAAGAGCAACAGGCAGAAAUGAGGCUAUGCUCAGAUUCAUCUUUACCCUCUGUCUUGGCAAUUCUCGUCAAAUGUGACUUGUAUCCAGCCUGCUUAGUGGUAAAUCAGAAUGUCACCACUUGACCUUGGCAAAGUUACCUGGUAAUGAGGAUGAAAGGUGUAUGGAACAAUUUGUGUCUAUCUGAGUCACAGAGUUUUCCUUCAACAGCACAAAUGUGUCAUCUGUUUUGUCAUGGCCCGUCUUGAGCAAUAGAAGCUGCAGUGGCCAUAGAGAGAAAUGGGAAGGGCACCAGCCUGCAGGUCAGGAGGCAAUAUUCACACAUAGGUAUAUAUUUGUAAAUGCAUAGACUUUCUGGAAGGAUUUUCAAGAAACUAGUAAUAGAGGUUGCUCCUGGAGUAGGUCUGGAGUGGGAACCUGGUGAGUCGGGGUGGAA
rnacentral:lncRNA from 1 species